UGGGGAAUUGUUCGCAAUGGGCGCAAGCCUGACGACGCAACGCCGCGUGGAGGAUGAAGAUCUUCGGGUCGUAAACUCCUGUCGAGCGGGAAGAACGUUUCGCGGAUGAAUAAGCCGCGGAAGUGACGGUACCGCUAAAGGAAGCCCCGGCUAACUCCGUGCCAGCAGCCGCGGUAAUACGGGGGGGGCAAGCGUUGUUCGGAAUUACUGGGCGUAAAGGGCUCGUAGGUGGCCAACUAAGUCAGACGUGAAAUCCCCAGGCUUAACCUGGGAACUGCGUCUGAUACUGGAUGGCUUGAAUUCGGGAGAGGGAUGCAGAAUUCCAGGUGUAGCGGUGAAAUGCGUAGAUAUCUGGAGGAAUACCGGUGGCGAAGGCGGCAUCCUGGACCGAGAUUGACACUGAUGAGCGAAAGCCAGGGGAGCAAACG
rnacentral:rRNA from 1 species